CGACUCCUACGGGGAGGCAGCAGUGGGGAAUAUUGCACAAUGGGGGAAACCCUGAUGCAGCCAUGCCGCGUGUGUGAAGAAGGCCUUCGGGUUGUAAAGCACUUUCAGUAGGGAGGAAGGUAGUGUAGUUAACACCUGCAUUAUUUGACGUUACCUACAGAAGAAGCACCGGCUAACUCCGUGCCAGCAGCCGCGGUAAUACGGAGGGUGCGAGCGUUAAUCGGAAUUACUGGGCGUAAAGCGCAUGCAGGCGGCCUGUUAAGUCAGAUGUGAAAGCCCGGGGCUUAACCUCGGAAUUGCAUUUGAAACUGGCAGGCUAGAGUCUUGUAGAGGGGGGUAGGAAUUUCAGGUGUAGCGGUGAAAUGCGUAGAGAUCUGAAGGAAUACCAGUGGCGAAGGCGGCCCCCUGGACAAAGACUGACGCUCAGAUGCGAAAGCGUGGGGAGCAAACAGGAUUAGAUACCCUGGUAG
rnacentral:rRNA from 1 species